AUUGAACGCUGGCGGCAUGCCUUACACAUGCAAGUCGAACGGCAGCACGGGUGCUUGCACCUGGUGGCGAGUGGCGAACGGGUGAGUAAUACAUCGGAACGUACCUUAUCGUGGGGGAUAACGCAGCGAAAGUUGCGCUAAUACCGCAUACGCCCUGAGGGGGAAAGCGGGGGACCGUAAGGCCUCGCGCGAUUAGAGCGGCCGAUGUCUGAUUAGCUUGUUGGUGAGGUAAAAGCUCACCAAGGCGAUGAUCAGUAGCUGGUCUGAGAGGACGAUCAGCCACACUGGGACUGAGACACGGCCCAGACUCCUACGGGAGGCAGCAGUGGGGAAUUUGGGACAAUGGGGGCAACCCUGAUCCAGCAAUGCCGCGUGAGUGAAGAAGGCCUUCGGGUUGUAAAGCUCUUUUGUCAGGGAAGAAACAGCAGCUCUAACACAGUCUGCGAAUGACGGUACCUGAAGAAUAAGCACCGGCUAACUACGUG
rnacentral:rRNA from 1 species